GUGUCAGCAGCCGCGGUAAUACGUAGGGUGCGAGCGUUAAUCGGAAUUACUGGGCGUAAAGCGUGCGCAGGCGGUGCGCUAAGCCAGAGGUGAAAUCCCCGGGCUCAACCUGGGAACGGCCUUUGGGACUGGUGCGCUCGAGUGCGGCAGAGGGGGGUGGAAUUCCUGGUGUAGCAGUGAAAUGCGUAGAGAUCAGGAGGAACACCGAUGGCGAAGGCAGCCCCCUGGGCCAGCACUGACGCUCAGGCACGAAAGCGUGGGGAGCAAACAGGAUUAGAUACCCUGGUAGUCCACGCCCUAAACGAUGACGACUGGUUGUUGGGGGAGUCUAUCCCUUAGUAACGUAGCUAACGCGUGAAGUCGUCCGCCUGGGGAGUACGGUCGCAAGAUUAAA
rnacentral:rRNA from 1 species